CCUACGGGCGGCUGCAGUGGGGAAUAUUGGACAAUGGGCGAAAGCCUGAUCCAGCCAUGCCGCGUGUGUGAAGAAGGCCUUCGGGUUGUAAAGCACUUUCAGUGGGGAAGAAAGCCUUGGGGCUAAUACCCUCGAGGAAGGACAUCACCCACAGAAGAAGCACCGGCUAACUCCGUGCCAGCAGCCGCGGUAAUACGGAGGGUGCGAGCGUUAAUCGGAAUUACUGGGCGGAAAGCGCGCGUAGGCGGUCUGAUAAGCCGGUUGUGAAAGCCCCGGGCUCAACCUGGGAACGGCAUCCGGAACUGUCAGGCUAGAGUGCAGGAGAGGAAGGUAGAAUUCCCGGUGUAGCGGUGAAAUGCGUAGAGAUCGGGAGGAAUACCAGUGGCGAAGGCGGCCUUCUGGACUGACACUGACGCUGAGGUGCGAAAGCGUGGGUAGCAAACAGGAUUAGAUACCCUAGUAGUC
rnacentral:rRNA from 1 species